GGCCAGUCCCCUUCGGCAGGCUGGUCGGCCGGCUGCAGGCCGGUGGUGUCGCGGGUCGGUUCCAGCCCGACGCUGGCCGC
rnacentral:tRNA from 1 species